rnacentral:piRNA from 1 species
UGAAACUUCAUGAGUGUAGCUUCUCUAAUU